UACGGAGGGUGCAAGCGUUGCUCGGAAUUACUGGGCGUAAAGGGCGUGUAGGCGGUUUCGUAUGUCUGGCGUGAAAGCCCCGGGCUCACCUCGGGAAGUGCGUCGGAAACUGCGAGACUAGAGUCCCGGAGAGGGAGGUGGAAUUCCAGGUGUAGCGGUGAAAUGCGUAGAUAUCUGGAAGAACACCGGUGGCGAAAGCGGCCUCCUGGACGGUGACUGACGCUGAGACGCGAAAGCGUGGGGAGCAAACAGGAUUAGAUACCCUGGUAGUCCACGCCAUAAACGAUGAGCACUAGGUGUCGCGGGUAUUGACCCCUGCGGUGCCGCCGCUAACGCAUUAAGUGCUCCGCCUGGGGACUACGGCCGCAAGGUUAAA
rnacentral:rRNA from 1 species